rnacentral:rRNA from 1 species
UAAACUGGAGGAAGGUGGGGAUGACGUCAAGUCAUCAUGGCCCUUACGACCAGGGCUACACACGUGCUACAAUGGCGCAUACAAAGAGAAGCGACCUCGCGAGAGCAAGCGGACCUCAUAAAGUGCGUCGUAGUCCGGAUUGGAGUCUGCAACUCGACUCCAUGAAGUCGGAAUCGCUAGUAAUCGUGGAUCAGAAUGCCACGGUGAAUACGUUCCCGGGCCUUGUACACACCGCCCGUCACACCAUGGGAGUGGGUUGCAAAAGAAGUAGGUAGCUUAACCUUCGGGAGGGCGCUUACCACUUUGUGAUUCAUGACUGGGGUGAAGUCGUAACAAGAUCCAU